GGAUGAGAGCCGGGUCCAGUCUGAAAAAUAAUUGCUUUAACAGCCAGGAUAAUCUCAGAAUUAAAGGUCCCUUCUUAACCUGAACUGACAAAUUAUGAGCCCUGGAUUUAACUUCAGUCCAAUGGUCGAGAGUCAAACUAAGAGGGGUCGUCACCGUCUGUCCCAUAUUAAAACUGUAGACAAGGACGCACAAGACAAAGACACACAAAACAGAAACCAACAGAUCCAGACACACGCGACCCGUCCGCGUCUUCCACAAGCAGGCAAAAGAGUCGGACGGCCGCGGAGGGGGAAGCUUUCGCUUCAACAACAGAACUCGGUCCUCUGACCGACAGAAGGAGACCACCAGGCGUCCCUGGCUCUCCCCACCUCCCGGGGCGUCCCCCAGGGUGGCAGCCUGUGAUCCUCCUAGCACGUCUGCUGAUCACAGUCCCCCAGUCCUUACGGUCUGAGAGGACAGCUGCAAACCGAAAGCGCGCAUCACCGAAAACAGACACUCAGAACAGAGACGCCAGCCGACACACACACUCACACGUUCCAAAGGGGAUCCCUUUACCUCCAAGUCGGUUCUCGGGUGUGAGGGGUAGUCGCGGGUUUCCCGGCCAACGCACCAAACUGAAAGGCCAGUCGAGUUAAAAUCCCUCUCGUCCUGACUCGGAAGAGGCGACACCCCAAAUCACUCACGAGAAGCGGUCUUGAUGCAAACAGCAAGAGGAUUUUUAUUCCGAGCGCGCUGGG